UAUAUAAAUUGGUUGGAUGUAUAUUCAAGUUUGUUUGAAAUUUUACUUUGAGGAAUGUGUUUCGUUUUAUCAUAUGUAGCUGUUGAUUUUGGUAUUUCUAUUUUUCUCGCUUUCAUUUAUUUAGGUGCUGGUUUGGUUGCCAAGAUGAGCAGAGGCACCCUCUUCUCUCAUCUGUUUAUCAGAUUGGAACCUAAUAAUGAGUAGCUUGAUACUUGAGAUUGUUAGUUAAUCAAGGCAUGGACCCAACAAUGUUUGAAGCAACGACUAGAGCAAUAUUCUGAAAGUGAUGUUUGAGAGGUAAUUAUUUUUAUCAAAUAAGCAGUUUCUGAAAUGGGCUGCCCAAGAAAUUAAAAACCUUUGAAUGUAAUUUUGAAAGUAGGAGAAACAUUUUAACAUGUGUUCUAUAUCUAUCCUUGGUACAGAUGAUAUAUCCUCGUUUGAGAGGUAGACUACAUGUCAUACAUCCUUUACAUGGCCUCGUUUUGUGAGGGUUGGCAUUUAAGCUCAGCUUUGUGCAAUCAGAUAUGGGAAAUUGUUGAAUUCCAGUUGUCAAGUAUUCGUUUCUGUUUCGGUACGCCUGUGAGUAUUUUUCUGUG